GCGCAGGUGGUGGAACGGUAGACACGCAACGUUGAGGUCGUUGUGCCUUCGGGUGUGGGGGUUCAAAUCCCCCUCUGCGCACCA
rnacentral:tRNA from 3 species